rnacentral:misc_RNA from 1 species
AGAGCUGGCUUGGCAGGAGUACAUCGU